rnacentral:rRNA from 1 species
UACGUAGGGGGCGGGCGUUGUCCGGAAUUACUGGGCGUAAAGGGCGUGUAGGCGGCUGAUUAAGUCAGGCGUGAAACCCCCGGGCUUAACCUGGGGCAUGCGCAUGAAACUGGUUGGCCUGAGUGCAGGAGAGGAAAGUGGAAUUCCUAGUGUAGCGGUAAAAUGCGUAGAUAUUAGGAGGAACACCAGUGGCGAAGGCGGCUUUCUGGACUGUAACUGACGCUGAGGCGCGAAAGCGUGGGGAGCAAAC